rnacentral:tRNA from 1 species
AAAGCCGUGGCCUACUGGUUAGGGCUUCAGGCUUGAAACUGAAGGGUUGCCGGUUCGAUCCUGACCAGUAGGA